rnacentral:rRNA from 1 species
UUGCACGCUGGCGGCAGGCCUCACCCAUGCAAGUCGCGCGGAUGAAGGGAGCUUGCUCCUGGAUUCAGCGGCGGACGGGUGAGUAAUGCCUAGGAAUCUGCCUGGUAGUGGGGGAUAACGUCCGGAAACGGGCGCUAAUACCGCAUACGUCCUGAGGGAGAAAGUGGGGGAUCUUCGGACCUCACGCUAUCAGAUGAGCCUAGGUCGGAUUAGCUAGUUGGUGGGGUAAAGGCCUACCAAGGCGACGAUCCGUAACUGGUCUGAGAGGAUGAUCAGUCACACUGGAACUGAGACACGGUCCAGACUCCUACGGGAGGCAGCAGUGGGGAAUAUUGGACAAUGGGCGAAAGCCUGAUCCAGCCAUGCCGCGUGUGUGAAGAAGGUCUUCGGAUUGUAAAGCACUUUAAGUUGGGAGGAAGGGCAGUAAGUUAAUACCUUGCUGUUUUGACGUUACCAACAGAAUAAGCACCGGCUAACUUCGUG